AUUGAACGCUGGCGGCAGGCCUAACACAUGCAAGUCGAACGGUAACAGGAAGCAGCUUGCUGCUUUGCUGACGAGUGGCGGACGGGUGAGUAAUGUCUGGGAAACUGCCUGAUGGAGGGGGAUAACUACUGGAAACGGUAGCUAAUACCGCAUAACGUCGCAAGACCAAAGAGGGGGACCUUCGGGCCUAUUGCCAUCGGAUGUGCCCAGAUGGGAUUAGCUAGUAGGUGGGGUAACGGCUCACCUAGGCGACGAUCCCUAGCUGGUCUGAGAGGAUGACCAGCCACACUGGAACUGAGACACGGUCCAGACUCCUACGGGAGGCAGCAGUGGGGAAUAUUGCACAAUGGGCGCAAGCCUGAUGCAGCCAUGCCGAGUGUAUGAAGAAGGCCUUCGGGUUGUAAAGUACUUUCAGCGGGGAGGAAGGGAGUAAAGUUAAUACCUUUGCUCAUUGACGUUACCCGCAGAAGAAGCACCGGCUAACUCCGUG
rnacentral:rRNA from 1 species